UACGUAGGGUGCAAGCGUUGUCCGGAAUUAUUGGGCGUAAAGGGCGCGAAGGCGGCAUGGCAAGUGGAAGGUGAAAUCCCUCGGCUUAACCGAGGAACUGCCCUCCAGACUGCUUUGCUUGAGGCCGGGAGAGGUGAGUGGAAUUCCCAGUGUAGCGGUGAAAUGCGUAGAUAUUGGGAGGAACACCAGUGGCGAAGGCGGCUCACUGGACCGGUUCUGACGCUGAUGCGCGAAAGCGUGGGGAGCGAACAGG
rnacentral:rRNA from 1 species